UUUGGGCCAACCUCCCAUCCGUGUCUAUUGUACCCUGUUGCUUCGGCGGGCCCGCCGCUUGUCGGCCGCCGGGGGGGCGCCUCUGCCCCCCGGGCCCGUGCCCGCCGGAGACCCCAACACGAACACUGUCUGAAAGCGUGCAGUCUGAGUUGAUUGAAUGCAAUCAGUUAAAACUUUCAACAAUGGAUCUCUUGGUUCCGGCAUCGAUGAAGAACGCAGCGAAAUGCGAUAACUAAUGUGAAUUGCAGAAUUCAGUGAAUCAUCGAGUCUUUGAACGCACAUUGCGCCCCCUGGUAUUCCGGGGGGCAUGCCUGUCCGAGCGUCAUUGCUGCCCUCAAGCCCGGCUUGUGUGUUGGGUCGCCGUCCCCCUCUCCGGGGGGACGGGCCCGAAAGGCAGCGGCGGCACCGCGUCCGAUCCUCGAGCGUAUGGGGCUUUGUCACAUGCUCUGUAGGAUUGGCCGGCGCCUGCCGACGUUUUCCAACCAUUCUUUCCAGGUUGACCUCGGAUCAGGUAGGGAUACCCGCUGAACUUAAGCAUAUCAAUAAGCGGAGGAA
rnacentral:rRNA from 1 species